UACGUAGGGUGCGAGCGUUAAUCGGAAUUACUGGGCGUAAAGCGUGCGCAGGCGGUUCGUUAUGUCCGAUGUGAAAGCCCCGAGCUUUAACUUGGGAAUGGCAUUGGAAACUGGCGGGCUGGAGUGCGGCAGAGGGGGGUGGAAUUCCACGUGUAGCAGUGAAAUGCGUAGAGAUGUGGAGGAACACCGAUGGCGAAGGCAGCCUUCUGGGCCAACACUGACGCUCAUGCACGAAAGCGUGGGGAGCAAACAGG
rnacentral:rRNA from 1 species